CUGUAAUUUAAAAUUAUUUACUCCAAAUUCAAGACAAUUUCAUAUUCUGACUCCAGUGUAAGUAAACAACUUACUCCCACUCUCAUUCCACACUCCUAAUCUCAAGAUUUUCAGUUCUCAAGAUUUUCACUCUAAUACAAAAUAUAAACGCUACCUUAAUAGAUUACCCUAGGUAAGUGGUGAUUUUUCUAGACACAAUUAUGUCCAUUGAUUUUAAUAAAAUUGUGACACGUAUAUUACUAUUUUAAUCCGAGUGGACCGAGACCCUUUAAGGCUUUAACUAAUAAACAAAAAUAGACCGGAGCGACAAUAUUUCAUUAUUUAUCGACCACCUAUAUGAGAGGACCGAGACCCUUUAAGGCUUUAACUAAUAAAGUAAUAAAUAAAGAUAGACCGAAGCGACAAUAUUCAUUAUUUAUAGACCCCCUAUAUGAUCAUUUAAAAUAAUAAUAUACGUAUCACAAUUUUAUUAAAAUCAAUGGGCAGAUGAAAAGUCAAACACGAAAUAAAAAAACAAGUCUGAAAACCACGGGUAGGUAUACCUACCGUCAAAAUGUCAUUUCACCCCACACUCACAUAGCUAAGUGACAAUAUAGCAUAGUUUGUAUUUUAAACAAUGCGCCAUUUAUUUAUAAAUAAUGUGAAAUUGUUUCGUUAAUGAAAUAUAAAAGUUUACUAAUACAUUACACUUGACAAAUAAGUUUAUCAUUUACUAAUGAUAAAUUUAUCUUUAACCAGAAUAAUUACUCGUAAUUUAAUCUUUCAUAUUUAUCAUCUACUAAAUAAAAAGAACACUCGAGUCUCAAAUUUUAUUUAAAUCAUAUUUAAGCAUAUUUUUAUUUUUAAUAAGUCAAUUGAUUAAUCAGGCUCCCAUAAAAAUAUAGGGACUGUUCACUGUAGUACUUAUGCUGUGGUAGAGUAGUUGCCCCAAACGUACCCUAAGUAAGAGUAAAUAUAUCGUGAAAUGAAGGAAGCUUAAUUUUCAUAGCAGCCUAGAAAUUAACUUUAAAAUGUUAUAAUAAUAUGAGUACAAUACUAAAUAAAUAUCAUAAAUUAGUAUAAAUUUUUCUAAAUUAUCUGCAUAUUUAAUUUUUUUAAUAUUAGCAAUUUAUCAAACAUAUUUUAUUAAUAGUAGCCUAAAGUUCUCGAUAAUUUUUUUUAAUAAAUACAUAAAAUAAAUACAAUAAACAAAUUAAAUAAUUUAUAAAUAUUUUAAUAUUAAAUUUUAAAUAACCCACUUGUAAAUUUUAGUAUAAAUAGUGAUUGUGUCAACUCCUUGGCUUCCUCUCUGCAACAGCCCAAUAAUUUAAAUCGGGCGCAACGCUUUCUAAUUAAGCCCAAAUUAGUCAGCCCAUUUUCUUAAUUAUUCAACACUCUAAUGGUUGAUAAAUGUUUACAAAAUGAGUAAUGCUAUUUGAAUUCCUCAAAUUAUCUCAACAGACUCCACUUCUCACUUUUUUCCAAAACUUCCCUUAAUCUUUUUUUUUUCGGCUCAACAGCUCUGAUCCAAUUCCAAAAUUUUUUCACUUGUGUGCUGAAGCCAUUUAUGUCCACACAAUGUUUGAACUUUGUUGAAGGCAGCGAUUCAUUAAAACAAAUAAAUGAAAUCAGUAACAAAUUGCCAAAAAAAAACAAAAAAAGAACCCCAUAAGUUAUUAGAAAUCUAAGAGAAGGAUUGAUGAGUUGUGAUGGGUGUUUGGUAAGGGAGAGAAAGAAGGGAAAUGGGGGUAAAUAAGAGAGAGAGAGAGAGAGAGAAGAAUGGAUAAAAUUUUGAAAACUGAAGUUAUUUUUAUUAGGGAUAGCAAUGGGACAGAUAUGAGUUGGGUCUACUCUACUCCAGAUAUAGAUCCAUAAUAAAAAUCAAAAUCCGUAUCUGCUCCAGAUCUGUUAUGAAUCCAUAUUUUUCGCUCCAUAUCCAGAUAAAAAAAAGAAAUAAAUAUCUAU
rnacentral:lncRNA from 1 species